GCAAGAAAAUUACCAGAUGUUUGAUGAUGUAUACAGACCAGAUUUGAGCGGCUGCGUUGGGGGCCUUGAACUGGCUGGCUUGUCUCACUUCUAUUAUUCUUCCUGGCCAUUCCCAACUGGUUUUGAUCAGCUUCCAUUAAUGCAAGAAGGGAUGGAGUUGCCAAAGAAUGUUGGUCCGUUGCCUGAUGCAGCUCAUGAAUUAGAACUAGCUGAAUUUGAACGAAUGAAGGUAGAAAGGCAG
rnacentral:misc_RNA from 1 species